rnacentral:rRNA from 1 species
CAGCCGCCGCGGUAAUACCGGCGGCCCGAGUGGCGGCCACUAUUAUUGGGCUUAAAGCGUCCGUAGCCGGGUUGGUUAGUCUCCCGGGAAAUCUGGCCGCUUAACGGUCAGAAUUCCGGGAGAUACUGCCAGCCUAGGGACCGGGAGAGGCCGAGGGGAUUCCCGGAGUAGGGGUGAAAUCCUAUAAUCCCGGGAGGACCACCUGUGGCGAAGGCGCUCGGCUGGAACGGGUCCGACGGUGAGGGACGAAGGCCAGGGGAGCAAACCGGAUUAGAUACCCGGGUAGUCCUGGCUGUAAACGAUGCGGACUUUGUGUCGGACAAGCUAUGAGCUUGUCCGGUGCCGGAGGGAAACCGAUAAGUCCGCCGCCUGGGGAGUACGGCCGCAAGGCUGAAACUUAAAGGAAUUGGCGGG